rnacentral:rRNA from 1 species
AGUGAACGCUGGCGGUAGGCCUAACACAUGCAAGUCGAACGGCAGCACCGUAAGUUCUUGCUCUUACUGUUUGCGAGUGGCGUACGUGUCAUGUAUACAUCGUAAUCUACUUUUUCGUGUGUGUUAACGUAGGUAAACUUACUCUAAUACCGCAUACGACCUUCGGUUGAAAUCAUUGGUUCUUCUCACCUUUCGCGUUUGAUUGAGCCGAUGUCGGAUUAGCUAGUUGGCGUGGUAAAGGCCCACCAAGGCGACGAUCCGUAGAUGGUCUGAGAGGAUGAUCAGAGACAGUGGAACUGAGACACGGACCAGACGACUACGGGAGGCAGCAGUGGGGAAUAUGGGACAAUGGGGGCAAGCCUGAUACAGCAAGAGCGCGUGGGUGAAGAAGGCCUUAGGGUUGUAAAGCCCGUUUGUUGGGAAAGAAAAGAAGCAGGUUAAAACAAAGCUGUAAUGACGGUAACCAAAGAAUAAGCAACGGCUAACUACGUG